ACCUACUUCACGAGCACGAAUGUCUCGACACUUUGUGCCUAAAUCUCGCAUUCUAUUUAAAGCAAGUUCUCUGAGAUUUCCUGUUUCUACGCCUGAACUUACAAGCGGCAUUGGGAUAUCUCUUUGAAUACGGUAAAUACGGGUCCAUGGAGGUACCAAAGCGAGAAUUCUAGCAAUAAGAUCCACCAAGGCAUUGGGGGUAUAGUUUUUAUAUCUUCCCGUUUUCCAUAAUUCAUAUAAACCAGUACCACGAAUAACUAAUGUAGGAUAGAGCUUUAAACCAUCAGUACGGAAUGCAGGGUUUUCAAAGUA